rnacentral:rRNA from 1 species
CCUACGGGAGGCUGCAGUGGGGAAUAUUGGACAAUGGGGGGAACCCUGAUCCAGCCAUGCCGCGUGUGUGAAGAAGGCCCUCGGGUUGUAAAGCACUUUCAGUGAGGAAGAACGCCUGGUGGUUAAUACCCAUCAGGAAAGACAUCACUCACAGAAGAAGCACCGGUUAACUCCGUGCCAGCAGCCGCGGUAAUACGGAGGGUGCGAGCGUUAAUCGGAAUUACUGGGCGUAAAGCGCGCGUAGGUGGCUUGAUAAGCCGGUUGUGAAAGCCCCGGGCUCAACCUGGGAACGGCAUCCGGAACUGUCAAGCUAGAGUGCAGGAGAGGAAGGUAGAAUUCCCGGUGUAGCGGUGAAAUGCGUAGAGAUCGGGAGGAAUACCAGUGGCGAAGGCGGCCUUCUGGACUGACACUGACACUGAGGUGCGAAAGCGUGGGUAGCAAACAGGAUUAGAUACCCUAGUAGUC